GGGGUCGUAGCGAAGCCAGGCAUCGCAACGGGCUCCAGACCCGUGGAUCAGGGGUUCAAAUAAUAUAUGCGAAAUAUAUUAGAACAGUUCCCUUCGGCCCCA
rnacentral:tRNA from 1 species